CCCCAGUGUGGGGAGGCCUGUGAUUGACCAUCGCUGCUGGGGCUGGGCGUGUGAGUCUGUCUAAUCCCGGCGUCUAGCACCAUGAAGCCCAUUGUUGCUAUGGUCCUGAGCCACAUCCUCCAACCUCCCUUUGAUGAGCCAUAAAGCUGGUGUUUGGGCCUCCACGUCUGACUCAUACAUCUGCUCUCAGUGGUGCAGAACUCAGGCUAGGACGACUAUGUCAUUAAUGGGCUCCACUAAAACACAACAUUUACCUCUUCCUAAAAUCAUCAUACUCAUUGGUUGAUUCAUUUGUUUACAUGGCUGCUGUCUGUCCCCCUACACACACACACACACACACACACACACACACACACACACCCCUCCCUCUACCUGCCUUCCCCUACAGAAUGUAAACUCCUUGAAAGCAAGAAUCCUACUCCCUUUGCCCAUAUAUUCUGUGCCUGGAACAGUACUUGGUUCGAGUGAAAGUCAAAAGGUAUGUGUCAAAUGACAGAAUUUCCAACUUGCCCGGUAGAAUGGGAAGUCAGAAUUGGAUUCAAGUUGAUUUCAAGAAAUAUUUAGAGCAUUUCUCACAAACCUAAGAUGUAGAUGAGCUUCGUAUCUAUGAAAUACGAUUUCUCUCAGGUGAGGAAACUGAGGCAUAGCAAGGGCAGUGAUUUUCUGAGGAUUUCUCGGUCACCCCCAGCCAGUAGCCAAGCCCUGGAUUGCUGCUGCUUUACAUCGUACCCUUCUUCUCCCCCUGCAGAGGCACACUGGGUCCCUGCCAUUUCUUCAUUCGGAGAACCACUGAGUGCUGAUUAUCCCUGUCUUGGUCUUUCUCCGGGUCUGCCAGGUCCUGCCAGGUUUCAGUUCCAUACAGUUAUAGGCCCUGAGGACCUUUAAUGUGCAGGCUGACUCUGCUGGGCUCUGAGUGGAAGCUGGCUCCUGUGUGGGGCACGUGAGAGCUCCAUUCAUACCAGCAGGCACAAGUCUAACUUUUGCUGUCCUAACCCAGUAUCUGGUGGGCCUGGGUGCUCCCCAAGCUUUAGCUGGCCCUACUGGUGAUGGCCCAGGCAGCGCAAUGGGCUCCUGGCCUGGAUUCCUGGUUACUCUGCACCCUUGUCCACUUGGUCAAGUUCCCAUCAUCUUACCCAGCCCUAGCUGGCUCUCUCUGGCCCUCUCAGGGACUGUUCCCCUCCCUAUACCUGAGCCACUGCAGAAGGUUCUGUGGCAAACUACAGAAACCUUCCUGAAGCAGAGCUCGGCCUCCUGACAGAUUUCUAGAAUCUCUACCGCCUGCAAAGUCCUGUUUGGACAUCAGGGCCGGCCUGGUGCCAGUCUGAGUUCACCCCUUGGGGUGUGGGCCCAGGAUUCCCGCCUCCACCAUUUCUCAGAGGUCAUCCUUUAGACCUACCUGCAGCCCACCUGCGAGGCUCCUCCUGACCUUCCCCUCCUGCCUGUCAGCCCCUGCACCAGACCUUCCACGGAGCCACUCCCAGUCAGGUCCUGUGCUGCCAGAGGAGCGGCCCCUCCCUCCGGGGUGGCCUUCUCCCUCUGUGCCGGCUGGCCAUUCUCCAAGAAGUCCCUUUUCCUGAGCCUUCCAGCUAUCUGCCUCAACUUCUUUGUCCUCCCUCAGGCCCUUCCUGUAAAUUUCACAUUUGAAGCAAAUAUUGAUUUCCAUACUAAUGCCCCUCGCCAGGGUUGUAAGACACACACACACACAUACACACACACACACACAGAAAACAAAAAGCAUGGUCCUGCUACCACUUCUGGAAAUGAAUGAGGUGAAACAGAGAAAGCACAAAAGGAAAAAAAAAAAAAAAGAUGUGGCUUCUGGGCAAAACACGGCAGCUGCUAUUAUUUUCAGAGUCUCUCCCUGACCCUGGCACUGAGUUAAGAGCUCAGGUGGUGUGGUGAGUGUUAACUGGGAAUGAGAGACCCAAGACGGCUGUUUUCCCAUUAAUAAUAAUAAUAAUAAUAAUAAUAAUAAUAAUAAUAAUAAAGGUGUUCUAACUUUUCCAUCCUGUUAUCAGAAAUGGGAGUGAAAGACCAGGAUCUGCCCGGAUUCUGUGGUUGCAGGACUCCCAGCCUCACCCCCGCUCCCACCCCCUCCCCCAACUCCCUUUUCCCUCGGCUAAUAAGUAAUCCCCGGGAAGGCUUGUGCACUUUGCUUAUUGUGUUUGGCUCAGAAAUACAUUUUCUUUAUCACCCCAAACCUCAGGCACAUGCGUUCUGAUAUCCAUUUGUAUGCCUGAGCUUGGAGCCAGCUGGGUUUAAUGUCAUUUUCUGGGGAGAUGAAGGAAGCAGAAGGUCACUGGGCACAGUGAGAACCUGCCUCCUCCGGGGGAGUAGACACCCAAGGUCCGGUCAGUCCCUGUCUGAGUCUCAGCCUCCUUCUCCCGGCUACCGUGGCUGGUCUCUGGGACGCCUAACGAGUUGCACGUCUUCAUCCUGCUCCCCUCCCUCAAUCCACCAAAGACCGUGUUCAAUCCCGUGGAAUUUGCAUACAGCAGGGCAGUUUAUUGAGGCUUUAAUGGAGCAGAAUAACCGACUCAGAAAUUACCUACGUCUUGUUCUCUGCAGUAGGCUCAACACAAAGGCACGAAAGGGCCAUGUUGGAAGGUCUCGCCUGAAACCACGUGCAUUCAGAAAGAGAUGAGAGGUGUGGUGGGCAGACCCAUCCAGAGAAACACUGUCUGGUCGGGUAGAAGCUGGUGGCUAACAGGGAAGCUGCCUGGGGCCACCCACCGAUUCCCCAGGAACUGACUUUGGACUGUGGAGGAGGAAGAUGUUGACGGACAACGAGCUUAGCAGGCAGCCUGAUUUUGGAUUUGAAUUCUGGCUCCGUCGUUCACGUCUGUGUGAAUCUGGACAAGGCACGGAACUUCUGAGAGGCUCAGCGACCUCACCCAGAAGCAAGAUCACCCUGUCAAUGUUAGUGCCUUGGCACACACAACCUGCAAAAGAGCCUGGCAACGAGGGCCACCUCCUGUCCCCGUGCCACUUCCCACCUUUGAGGCUUAACGAGAGAACGGUCCUCUGGCUUCCCUCCAGGGUGACACGGAGGCUGUGGGAUCUGCUACUUACAGAGAAGUUCGGUGACUCCUGGCUGAGAGAGAAAUAGAGUUUCCGAACUGGCAGGUGGAGGACAUGGGAAAGAGCCACUUUUCCUUAUCUUUCACACUGUCUCUUCUCUUCCCCCUUCCCCCACCUGUCAUUCAUCCAGCUCAUAAACAUACUGAGAGUUCACCGAGGGCCAAUGCCAUGCCUGAAGCUGUCCACAAUGUGACGCUCCAAGUCCCUUUAGCAGAAGACCCCCCCCCCCCCAACACACACACAAAAGACGUUUAGCAAUUCCUAAGGGUUUAUUGAGAGUCUGUUUUGUGCCGGGCACCAUACUGGGCCCCCGAGAUAGUGAGAAACUUCUCUACUCUAAGUAGCUCACAGCCUAUUGAUGGAAAAGGAGCUUGCCUUUGGUCUGAAGGCAGUUCAUUCAUUAGGGUUUGGGAUAUGAGUGUCCAAAGCUCCCCUCCUGAACUGGGCUAGUACAGAUGUAAAGCUGCAGUCAGCACACUGCUAAUGGGGCUUUGAAAGUCUCUGCUUUAUUAGGGCAUCCAGGAAAGCCGAUUUCAGCUGCAAAUGCCUUCAUUGCCUCCCCAGCAGAAAUGGCUAAUACCUGCUUUCUGGGACGCGCUCAUCAAAAGGAGACUCUCAAAGCCCCAUUAGCAGUGUGCUGACGCUGGCUGUACAUCCUGAAAGGGCAAAGUCCAGCGGAGUUAAAGGAAUCCAGCCUAUUUGUCAACACUAGCAUGAGUCAGAUCUUCCCCCUCCGCCCCCCCCCCCUUUACUUCCUCCCUCUUACCUGGGAGCCUAAGGGACUUCAGUUUCUCAGCAGGGGGCUCUGCAGUCCUACAACCCACACACUUCCCCCCUCCUUCCUUGGGCUCACCAUCCUCCGCCUUGCCAGUGUCAAUCCUAUAACCCGGUGGAAGCCUAAACAUCCAGCAUAGUCCCGUCUACCAAGGACUCCCUGCUCUGCCAUCAUCUGCCUCCACCCGGAGAAGUUCUUGGGCUCUGUUCUCCCGAUCACCUUCUAUGGUCGCCUGGGCUCCCAGAGUCUUGAAGAUGGAAGGUGCCUAGAAAGUCAACUAGCCCAACCUGCCACCCGAUAGAGGAAUUUCUCCCUCAGCAGCAUCAACGUGUGGUCUCCCAGGAGCAAAGAUGGCUAUCACCAGAGAGUGUUGGAGGCAGACAGACCACAAGACAGCACACAAGCUGUAGGACCUUGCUAGGGCAUAUCGGGCUAAGAGCAAGAGCUGUCCUCACAGCCUGGCGAUGCUAUGCACACCGAGAAGAUGAUCUUGCCUGAGGUUUUCACCGGCCAGCUCUCCCAGACCGCAGACCUACUAUGACCUCAUCUUAACUUCUACAGCGACCCAAGUUCCUGUGAAAAGGAUGCCCAGAACUCAGAAAGACUGGCCUCACCCUUCCCUUAGGGCCUUCCAAGAGGAAAGGGCAGGAGAGGGGUGGAGAUCCUCUUGCCUUUGUUUUUGUUGUUGGUGGUGUUUUUAAUGUUUAUUUAUUUAAGUAAUCUCUACACCCAACGUGGGGCUCAAACUCACACCCCCGAGAUCAAGAGCCAUCUGGUCCUCUGACUGAGCCAGCCAGGCACCCCUCUGGCCUUUGUUUAUUGUCCCAUUAUUCAGUAGACAAGCAGGGUGAUGUGGCCCACCAAGGAACAGGAGUCAUUAGACAGUCGAGCAAGAAAAACAAUAUUUCAACAGCAUUGAGCAAGCCCUCCUAUGCUGGAGGCAUGUGCUAGCCCCUGGGUAUACAAGGCUGCAUAAUAAACUCAGUCCCUUACGUUAAGGACUCUCGGCUUAGUGGGUGAAGGCAGAUGUGAGUAAGAAUUAUAUGUAGCCUGAAACAUGCUUGAUUGGCCAUCUGAACAAAUGGCUUGGAUUUAUCCCUUAUCUUAUUCGGUACUGCUAUGGCAUUGGUCAUUGUUGACCACCACACCUUUCUUGAAAUUCUCUGCUGUGGGCUUCUGAUCUGACUUUCUCCUGGGUCGUCUUUACUUCUGAGGCCACUCCCCAGUCUCUUUCACCACACCCUCUUCCUCUGUUCACCCCUAAGUAACGAUACUCCCUAAAGAUCCAAUGUUUCCCUCUUCGCCUCUCGUGCUGCAGUUUACCCUCUCCCUGGAAAGUAUCUUUUGCUCCUAGGCCCUGAAAACCCCUACAUACUGACAGCUCCCAAAUGUACGUCUUCUACCCAGACUUUUCUUGAGUGACACCUCCAGAACAUGUAUUCGUUGACCACAAUUUCUUUAAAAUGUCAUGUACCAAUAAUAUUUUAAGUGCUUUACAAAUAUGAAUUCAUUUUAAUUCUCUUAGAGACACAGUAACCCUCUGAAGUGGAUACUGUUAUUAUGCCCAUCUUAAGGAUUAGGAAACCAAAGCACAGAGAAGUUAAGUGACUUGUUCAAGAUCACACAGCUGGUGAACGCUGGGGCUGAGUUCCCAAUACACAUGGUCUAGUUCAAGAGGAUGCCGUGUAGUGCUGUGCUUUCACCUCUGCAUAUGACCGGCACAUGGCACAUAUUAUAUAUAAAUUUGGUUAUCAAGAAAGUUUCUGGAACAAAAUAAAAUGAACUUGUUUUUUGUGGGGGGGACUUGGUUAUCUCUUCUCCAAGUUUACCCUUCCAUUUCCUUAACCAAACCUACUUUUGUUAAUGGUGUCCUCACGUGUUGACUCUUAAAAAAGGAAACUCGCUGCUUAACACAUCAAAAAUGUUCCAUGAAGGCUUCUGAAUUAUACUGAAUUGAACUGUUCUAAACUGAAUUGCAUUGAAGCAUGCAGGGAACUCAGACUGUGAACUUCCACCAGAGAAUUGAGGAGGAUAUGAGAGAAGAGGUGACAUUUGAGCUGAGCGGGAUAUAGCACAUUACACAGAGCUCUACAUAUUUGCACCAUGAGGGGCUAGCGAUCAGGCAGCUCCGUAUUCUCAUUUUACAAAUGGUGGUUCUCAGGUAGCUAAGAGGAAUCACAGGAACAAGUUGAGAACCCUGCGGGAGAGGAAUUUCAGACCCGUACUACUCAAAGCAUGGUCCACAGCCUGGUAGGAUCUGUGGGAUUGGCAUCACAUAGAGGCUUGUUUCCACCAACCUGCUCGAUCAGAAUCUGCGUGUUAACAAGAUCUCCAGGGGGUGUGUAAACCUUAAAGUUGGGGAGCAUUGAUCCAGGACUGUUUUACACUGGCUAAGGGAACCAGAUUAUUUAGCCAGACCUCAGAAUCCUCAUGAUUUCAUUCUGUCUGGAACCCCUCUAAGUUUUGGUAAUUACAUCUCUCCUCUGGCUCGCACCCUGGGACCCGCCAGCCUCAUGGAGAUUGAGAUGAACAUGACUGCAUACAUAGCUCCACUGUGUAGAGAAGCCUUCACUCUCAGCAGCUCAAAGGAGUCAAAGCUGGGAACGAUGUUGGUAAAUGCUGGGCAGUUGGUUUUCGCAAAAGGAGGGACAGAAGGAGAGAGGAUGGUUUGGUUCAUGGUGUUAACCCAGCCCCAAGCACUUGUGGUUCAUGGAGAGAGACUGGCUGUGCUACCAAUGGGACAUAAAUGCCAAGAAGGGAGUGAAGGGAUACAGUUAGAGCCAACUCUCUGGGUUGGGUGGUCCUGGGGGUGUUACUUAUAAUCCUGGAACUUGGAAGUAUUGGGAUGAUCUUGGCCUCAGAGUAUUGAUGAGAGCUGGAUGGAGAGGCCACAGUGAUCCAGGCUAUAGCAUGUAGCUGAGGCUUUCUGCAGAAAAGAAACCAAAGUCCAAAGCCCUGGGUCAAAUCGUCACGAUGGAAGACACACGAUGGAAGACAUUGUACCGGUGAUAGAAUGAACAAUGGAGGGCAGUGAAUAAGAUCAGGGAUCAGGGGAAGGUAUAAAAGCAUAGGCUACACAUAAUGAGAAGGAAAUAGUAGCCAAUUAAAAGAAAACAACCCUUAAAAUAAAAAUAAAACAACCUUCAGCCCCAGCUUCUGUGGCUGAAGGUCAUGUGAUGGCUGGACACAGGAUGUGACCACAGAGGGAAGAGCUGCUAAUGAACGGGGUUAGCCUUCCAAGCAGCUUUUCACCCAACACUUGCUCUUUUCCUGCCUAAACUCAUGGAAGAUGUAAAACCCCUUCUUCAACAGCUGGGAGAGACUUCCACAGACAUUUUGCAGACGUGUUUUGGUGCAGAAGGCAUUCGUGGAACAGGCUUACGUUGGAAGAGAAUUGCACCUCCUGAAAUUCCUGCAUUUGCAUGAAUAUGCGUGGUAGGAAAUAGAAGCAGAAAUAGCUUAAGGAGGAGAAUGCAGGGAGACAUCUGUAUACUCUGGAGCGAACAGUUGGAGGCCAACCACAAUUCCAUGGUUGGCUUAUCAGCUUUGCUACAAGGAAGGGACGGGUCCAGAUUCCACUGACAGGAGAGGCCGAAGGAGAAGAACCUGUGGCCAGUGCUGAUCCAGCAGGACCAGAGAAGAGGGCUCUGAGAGGACCAGGACAAAAUGUCUAAGGGCACGUGGCACAGGAAUGAAACACAGUUCCACUGGUAUACCAGGUAGAGCAGUUUAUAAAUAGACCAUAUUGCUCGUUCUACACAGUAAGUCCUGACCUGACUGUCCUUGGUGCUACUCUUAAAACGUUUAAGAGUAAAGAACCCCCUUCGGGUAUUAACAGCAGUGGAUUUGAUCUCAGAUCUCAGAGAGACGGUCAGGGAGGCAGCCCCCCUCAGAGAUAGUGGAUAUUUGGCCAGCCCCUUUUCUUCUCCCCCCGAUCCUGCACAAGUCUCCAGGCUUUCUCCCCCCACCCCAUCUUUUCUCCUCUUGGCCUUCUUCUAACCCUCCUGGCUAUAAAAUAAAACCAGAAUUUAUAUUUUCUUAUUUAUUACAGGGUAUUUUAUGUUUCUUGGUCUUGGUUUAGAAAAUGCACAAGUGAAAUUGCUUUAUUUAUCUGCACAUUUAAAUAGACUAAAUUCACUUGAUUUUUAUGUUAGCUGUAUCGACCCUUCCCACCCUUUGCCCUAAAAGAUGGCACCUGCUAUGCCAAAAUGGCAUCUACCCCGGUCUGCAACUAACACAGCAUUUGCAAAGUGUUUACAGAGACCAGUGUUGUGGAUGCCUCUGAGUUUGCUCAGUAAUCCCAGCCCUUCAAAGGGUAAUGUGAAACCUCUUAUCUAACACAAUGAGCUGAGGAUAGGGCCAGGACAUAAAGACAGACAAGUCAGGUAGCGAUUAGACUGUGUCCACUGAUUCUGGGGAUAUCUCUGCUUGAAGGUCACAAAAUUCCUACUUGCUCAUCUCUUAAAUCAUCUGCUUCUGUCUGCAGGUGGUGACAGAGACUCCAAAAAAAAGCUAAAAUAGUCAUCUUUCAAGGUUAACAAGGAGCUUCUUAGAAGCCCCAGCAUGACUGUCAAUAGCCAAUCAAAGAGAGAUGUCAGUCGGCUCCCCCGAGGAAGGGUUUCAGUUAAUGCGGUGUUAGGCUGGGGAGGCCACAUAUGGAGAAGAACCAGCUGCUUGCCUUCCUAUGUGGGGGCCCAAAGCUGAAGGCAAAGGGGACGGGCUUUGCCGUUCCCCCAAGCGGAACAGACCAGAAUGAUCCCGGUGGGACGUCUGCAACCAGGGAAAACUUGCUACAAUCUGGGGCUCAUUCAGUGAAAUCCAUUGUCCUCUCCCCAUGAGGAAGGUUCUCAAUUAAAUUUCUCCUGAGGUCCUUUUCCUCCCCUAGUGA